rnacentral:rRNA from 1 species
UACAGAGACUGCAAGCGUUACUCGGAUUCACUGGGCGUAAAGGGAGCGCAGGCGGACCGGUGUGUCAGAUGUGAAACCCCAGGGCUCAACCUUGGGACUGCGUCUGAAACUGCCGGUCUAGGGACUCGGAGGGGCUAGUGGAAUUCCUGGUGGAGCAGUGAAAUGCGUAGAUAUCAGGAGGAACACCAACGGCGAAGGCAGCUAGCUGGACGAGAUCCGACGCUCAGGCUCGAAAGUAUGGGGAGCAAAAAGG